rnacentral:lncRNA from 1 species
UCUGUGUUUGUACCCGCUGUACAAGGUGCUGUAAUCCUUUUCCGCAACUCUGCAACCCCCCUUCCGACUAUCCAUUCCCCAGGCCGCCGACUACUCGCGCAUCCAGCUGCUGUCGUACGGCGUCAUGACACCUGAGGCGUUCGUGGACGACGCGCCGUACCCCAUACUGCUGCUGUCGUACCUAAACGCCACGGCGGGCAACGGCAGCAUCGUUGACUUCAUGCAGUACGGCCGGUCAAACAUGCGCCUCAUAUACCAGCUGCGCACCGAGGUGGAGUGCAUCGCCUACGUGGGGCCGGAGGAGCAGGACUGCAACUUCCCCAGCAACUGGAGCAACAUCUGGCGAGUUUGGGGGGUUAGGGGGGCUUUAUAGAUACCAGGCCAAACUAAACCGGACCCAAUGGGGGGGAGGAGCUGGUAGGGAGGGGACAGAGAAUAGUCGCAGGCGCGUGGAAGAGCCUCGGAAAGGGGAGUUGGGCGCGUGAUGGGGCCCUUUCUCACGCGCAAGGCACGCAUCAAAUCAGCUGUAGCAGGGGCCAUUCCCGCCCGCGGAAACGUCGCGGUUUGCCAUUGCGCUCGCGCUCUCAGCUUUUCCCGCGCCGGCCCCUUUCGACGCCUGCCUGCCUCCUCUUUCCCGUGCAGGUACGACGUCACCAACACGGUGCAGGUCAAUGCGGCGCUCAACCUGUCACUCACCACCAUCAUCAUCCUGGCGCUGGGCCUGUCGGCAUUCUUCUUCGGCAAGGACGCCACCACCUACGUCAUCAUCCCCAUCGAGACCAUGCUCAAAUACCUCAAGCGCAUGAUCAUGGUGCGCGCGGGAGGGCGGGUGGGCUGUGGGGUUUGGGGAGCGUGGCGUGCCGGUGGGAACGGCGGUCCGUCGUACUGCCCCACCGUGCAACUGCGAAGUGUGUGGAGUGUGCGAAUCCUCAACCUGCCGGACUCACGGCGCGCCCUCCACCCGGCACGCCCCUGCUCCGCCUCCGCAGGUGGGUGUGGACGGCGGCGACAACGACAGCGAGGGCCCCCACGUGCGAAAGCCGCCCGAGACCGACCUACUCGCCAACUACGUCAGCAGACUGGUCAACGAGAUCGACAACGCGCGGUGGAAGGUGGGGUGCGGGCUGGGGGGCGUGGGGGCGUGGGGCUGGGGGUCGUGGUGGCGGCUGUGGGCUGGUCCGGGGGCUGGUGGUGUGUGAGGUGCGGAGCUGGGUGUGCCCCCGCCUGCCUCCUCGCCUCAUCCGCCGGCGGCUCGCCCGCUGCCUCUCACCUCCGGCUCCACCUGCAGGCCGAGGAGGAGGCGCGCAUCAGCGACACACUGCUCAACAGCAUGGUGCCGCCGCGGAUAGCGCUCAGGCUCAAGGUGCGGGGCCAGCAGUGCAUGCGGAGAACGGAAUGAUUAGAUUGAUUGCGUCACAAGUAUGAAGUGCCGACGUCCAGUGGGAACAGCGGGCACUACACCGUCAGCGCCAGCAUCUAGUACCAAAGGGUGGGAGGGUGUUUUUACCAUUCUCAGUCAGAAGCCAGAGACACCAAAACGCAUGACAAGACAGGGGGGAAGAGGAGGAGAGGUGGCUGGGGUACGGGGGCAGCCGUCCAUGACACCGGAACGAUGGUGUGUUUGACGAUACGGAAGUGGUGUGGGGCCGCAGGGUUGGUGGGGCGUACUUGCAUUGGUGAGGCGAACCCCGCCUGGUAAGCGGAUUGGGGCGUGAGACGGGGUGGCAACGCACCGAGGCGGGCUUGAGUAGAAGCCGGUACUGGGGGCCCCGAGCCCCUGCCUGGCGGCCUGCCUGACGCGCCUGCGUCCCGUCUCACCCUGCAGGAGCUGCGGUGGUGGGAAGCGGGGCCGGAGCAGCGCGCUCAAACCAUCGCGGACACCUUCCAGCACGCCACCGUGCUGUUCACGGGUCAGUUGGGGCUUGUCGUAGGAUUCCCAGCAUCUGCACCGCAUUCCCUUGGAACCUACCUGGCACGGCGCCGCGUCUUGGUCCCUCGCACGUUCGGGGUCCCUGCAUCGCCAGCCCCUGCCUGACUGCGUUUACACGCCACUCAAGCCAAGGGAAAAGUGGGCUGCGCACACGCCACACACAUCUUCACGCCACGCCCGUCUUCUAUCCUGUCCCCCGCCCUCACCCCCGACCCUCUUACCCCGCCCUCCCUCCCUGCACUCCCUCCCUCCCCCCAUCCCUGCCCCACCCACCCCCCCAGACAUCGUGGGCUUCACCACGCUGUCCAGCCGCAUCAGCGCCGAGGACGCCAUGCGCCACCUCAACAACAUGUACACCGUGUUCGACGAGAUCGUGGAGAAGUACGGGCUGUACAAGGUGGGUGGGCCCCGGGCGCCGCCGGCGCGGCGGCAGUGGCAGCACGGCACGGCGCAGCGCGUGUGUGCGUGUGUGUGCGUGUGUGUGUGUGUGUGUUAGAAAAAAACAACAAAACGAAGCCCGCCCAAGCGGCGCCGGAGUUACUUACGGAUACCUACCCAAUACCGAGCGUCGUGUUGCCGCGUCGACCCCGGUAGUCAUACUUACCCGCGAAAAGCCUGUAACCCUCUCGGGCGAUCGACGAACGAUCUGACCCCGAGUGGCACCCAUAUGCAUUGUAUGCGCCGCGCCCUGGGCGCGCUACAACGUUUACCCAGCACGCCUAAGUCCCAUAUUCCCGCCCGCUGGUCAUAGUCGAGCUCACCUACGGGCGACAGAGGAAGCGAGGGCAAAGGGCGGCAGCGCGGCAGUGUCACGGGCAGGCAAAUGGCAAAGGCGACAAGUGGGGCGGCGUGCAUCAAGCGACCUAGCUAACGCGCAAAAGCCCGCCUAUUAAGUAUCACGCGACCCGGAGAAGAGGGCGAGCGAGUGCGGCAAGCAACCUUAACGGGGCCGGGGGUUGCAUGGGGGCGUGGCGGGCGGCGGUUGCAGAGUCGCAAGAUGCUCUAGAUGCAGGCUGGUAUCACGGGGGUGGGUGUUUAUGCGUCGCCGUGGGCUGGCGGGAGCUGGCCUCCCGCUCCCCGCUCUCUCUCUGUGUGUGUGUGUGUGUGUGUGUGUGUGUGUGUGUGUGUGUGUGUGUGUGUGUGUGUGUUUGUGUGUGUGUGUUGUGUGUGUGUGCGUGUGUGUGUGCGUUUGUGUGGCAGGAACGCGCAAAGGGAAAGGGUGGAUUUGUGUGUGUUCACGUAGUCUGUGCCCGGUGCGGCCGCUUGGCACUUGGCACUCGUUCCAGAAACAUCACCCCUGCAAUGCAACCCCCUCUCAUGUCGUCUCACCUCCUCCUCCCCCCCCCCAGGUUGAGACCAUCGGCGACAGCUACAUGCUGGUGGGCGGCGCGCCGGAGGAGCGCAUGGACCACGCCCUGCGGGUGGCGGCGGCGGCGCUGGAGAUACGAGCCUGCGUGCCGCUGCUGCAGGUGCGGCGCGGCUGGAGUGCAGGGUUUGGUGCAGGGUUUGGGCUGUGUUGGGGUGGCGGCGGGGUGGCGGCGCGGUCGGGAAGGUUGCUUGAGGCUCCGUGUGGUCCGCAUCAACAGUUCAUCCGACACAGGUCAUGCAGGCCGCUUGUUUCACUCGUUGCGAUGGCGCUUAUCGCUGUCACCAUCCGCUGCAGGACUACUGACCUCUCCCAAACUGUGUUUGUCUUUCUGGUCUUCUUCGCGCUUCUGGACACACGCAGGAGAUCAGCGGCGAGCCUGAGAUCAACGUGCGCAUCGGCAUGCACAGCGGCAGCGUCACGGCCGGGGUGGUGGGGUUCAAGAACCCGCGCUGGCACCUGUUCGGAGACACCUGCAACACAGCCAGCCGCAUGGAGAGCACGGGUGAGCCAGGCGGCGAGGAGCAGCAGCCGCGGCCCGGCACGGCACGGUAGAGGACCGGGGCAUGCGGAGCAUUGGGCCUCGCGUCCGCUGGUUGCCGGGUGGCCGGGCACGUUGCUGGCGACCGGCAAAGAACAACGGCUGAAGCUGCUCCUGUCGCGCACCUCUUAAUCUGUGUUUUCAAAAUAUGUGCACAAACACACAAACACACCCACCCCAACCUGUGUUUUCUAUACCACACAAACAGGCAUUGCGGGUGAGAUCCAGCUCAGCUGGACCACCUACGAGCUGAUCAAGGAGCAGUAUGCGUGCAAGGUCCGCGGCAAGAUCGCGGUCAAAGGUGAGGCGCGCGUGGCCCCCCUCCCCCCAUGGUAUCAGGAAAGCACAGGGGGGGAGGGUGGACGCUGCCGCACGGUGUACCCCGGAGCCCGCGGUUGGCAGUCGCAGGGGCAGGGCAGGGGUCCUGCUGCACGCGCAAGCUCGGUCAGCUUCCGCACGGCCUCUCGCGCAUGCUUUGCUGUGCCCGCAGCCCUGCACACGAGCAACAUGCGCACGCGGGUCUAAAUGCUGGAUCAUAGACAUCAACAAACACACACGCGCUCGCCUGCUCGCUCGCUCGCUCGCCACGUGCAGGCAAGGGCGAGAUGGUCACGUACCUGCUAGAGCGCGAGGUAAGGGGGGUUGAGGGUUGAGGGGGAGUGAAGGGCUUGGGAGGAGUGAGGGGAGGGGAGGGGAGUGAGGGCAUGCAGGGCGCAGUCCAGCAGGCGUCACGUAGGUGGCAUGCGGAUAGGCGGGGUAAGCACGGCAAGAACAGCGAAAGCAGCGGCCUGCUCGCGCUGGCGGCUUUCCACCUCCUGCGCCGCCCUGCCUGACCUGCCUGCCUCUGCGCUGCCUCCCCGCACGCAGCUGACGGCCGGCGGCCGGCCGGACUCGCCCACCGCCGCCGCGGCGUCCGGACACGCGGGCCCACUGGGCGGCGGCCCGGGCGGCGGCGGCGAGGCCAUGGACCGGGAGGCCUUCCUCACCAGCCCGCAGUUCAAAAAGGUGCGGGGCACGGCGCACACAGAACACACACACACACAUACACACAUACACACACACACACACACACACACACACACACACACACACACACACACACACACACACACGCAAACACCAGCACCAUGCAACUCCGUCGUCGAGUUUGCUCGCCCUGGUGCCUUCGCGCUGCCCUGCGUGCGUGCUCUCGGCACUUCCGCACCCACACCCUGGGCUCCUUGCUCCUCUUCCACACUCCCACUACCGGUGCUCCCGUCCGCCUCCUGAUGCUGCACCUUUUCUCCUCAUCACCGCACACCCGCCGCCUCCCACCACCGCCUUUAACGCGCCCCCGCCCACUCCUCACAGGCCGCAACCACUCACCUUGCAACGCCUAACGUUUUCACUUGCUGUCCCCUGGUCCCCGUGCUAAUAUCAUGUUCCCAAUGUUUUCAAGCUUGCAACCCCCCCCCCCCCGACAUCGUCGGUAAAGACUGCUGUUCCGUCAAGAUUGACUGCCAUCUACCAUUUUCUUAGCUACCGUAAUCAUGCAUGUAACCCACUCCCCACAGGCCAUGGAGCGCCACACCACUGCCCGCAACUCCUUCCUGGCGGAGGAGGAGGAGCUGUGCAAGUUGCUCAAGUCGCUGGAUGAGGCCACCGCCGCAGCCGCGGCGGCGGCCGCCGGCCUCGCCUCACCCGCCGCGCCGGGCGGCGCAGCCGCCGCAGCUGGCGCCGGAGGUGGCGCCGGCGCCGGUGGCAAGGCGGUGUCCACGACUGCGGAGGCGGUGGCGGGUGCGGGCGUGGUCGUGCCGCGGCUGGCGGCGGGGCUGGGCACGGCGGCGUUCAAGCAGCUGGUGCUCACCCACGCGACGCCGUCAGACCUCAAGGUGGGUGGGCGGCGGGUGUGCUGCUUGCUUCGCGCGCCGUGCUGCCCCUGACGGGGAUUCUCUUCAAUUUGGGAUAACGCGCCACGGUGUUAUUCCAACCAAUGCAGCAGCAUGCACCCAAUGCACCUCAUCCGACACGCCGCCACGCUCCUGAACGCACCCCACGCACCUCAACGCCCCCAACCCCCGACGCCCUCAACCCCCAACACCCCCAACACCCCACCGCACCCUAACCCCAACACCCCCAACACCCCACCACCCCCAACCCGCCCGCCCCCGCAGGCUCUGGCGGUGCACAUGCACGAGGAGCUGGGCAUUGCGCGCGCCGUGAUCGGCGGCGCGGCGGCGGAGAAGGCGGCGGGCGUGCGGCGCGACAUGCUGCUCAAGCUGUACGGGCGGGUGCUGGAGGCGCCCAACAUGACGCUGAGGGACACCUUCACCUGCAUCCUGGACGCCCUGUACAAGGCGCGUGCCAGAGGGGGGGCGGCGGGCGGCUGCAGGGGGACUGCGGGGGGCUGCGGGGGGCUGCGGGGGCUGUAGAUACCAGCCCAAGCAAAAUCAAGCCAAGCCAAACUAGCGGACCACAGCGGGGGGCUGCGGGGCCGGGCGUUCACUGUCGGCGUUCGUGACUGUGUACUUGCGGGUGCAGCACCGCAGCGGCCACCUACGUGACCCAGGCGCGAGCGCCGCGCCGCGCGGCGUGGCGUCGCGUGGCGUCGCCAAUGGCCCCCUCGCCACACCGCCUUGACUGCUUGCUGCGCCCACCCUGGUUGCGCUGUGUCCAGGCAUCUCCUGACUAGAUUCCCGACUGUGGCUGAUGAACGCAAUGUCCCCCGGGCCCCACAGGUCAUCGAGUGCGACGUGAUCAAGCUGUAUGUGGUGGACCACGCGCGGGGGCAGCUGUGGCCCGCCAGCAGGCACAGCGUGGCGGACGCAAACAGGGUGAGGGCGUGCGGGCGGGCUACAAGGGAGGAGGGAAACAGGCGGAAGGCAGGUGGAAGACAACAGGCGGGGUAGGGGCAGGGGCAGGGGUGGCAAGGAGGCAUGUAGCUGAGGCGGGUGGUUGGCCAAAACUGCAAAGGCCCGUACACGGCUCCCACGGUGCUCCGCUCCGCUCUGCCUACACACAGGCGCAUGCGCAUGUCGUUCAGGCUCGGUCACGCAAACCUCCAUCCCCCUCUCGUAACCUCCUUCUCCCGGCCUCCCUCUCACUGCCUCCUGGACGGCUGCAGACGCUGCCUCUGGACGGCACGCUGGCUGGGUGCGCGGUGCGGCGGGCGGGUGUGGUGCGCGUGGGCGACGUGGCAGCGGCGCCGGACUUCAACACGGAGCUGGAGGUGGGUGGGCGAGGGCAGGGAGGGGCUGGGGGUGUUGGGCGUGGAUGUUGGGGUAGAGACGCGGGCCUGGGGGAGGGAAGGGAAGGGAAGCGGGCAGAAUGGACUGAGGGAUCCGGCAGGGACAGGCGGCGUGAGGACCAUGGCUGUUCGGAUGAGUUCACCCGGCUUAUCGCUGGCGAUGGCACCCACCCGUUGGUCUUGGGCACAUACGAAGCCCCUCAACUCCUUCAUCCGCGUUAUCCUCCUCUUUCCUUCCUGUCUCUCAGGAGCUGCCGGCAGGCUACACCAGCAAAUCCAUGAUGUGCGUGCCAGUCUUCUCCAGCCCCUACGGGCCGCGCGCAGCCCACCGCGCCGCCGCCGCAGCCGGCGGCGGAGACCAGUUCGCGCCGCGCGACCAGACGGGGCCAGCCGCCGACGUCGUGGCGGUUAUCGUUGCGGUAAACCGUUGGACGAGCUGGGACGAGAGCGCGGAGGAGGGCGAGCGGCACAUUGUGCCCUUCUCCGCCGCCGACGAGGAGUCCCUGCGAGACGCCGCCGCCAGUGUUGGGCUAUUACUGAUGCGGCGGCGCGGCGAGAUGCUGCUGGCGGCGGCGGCGGCGGGCGCCGGCGGCGCCGGCGGGUUGCUGGCGGGCGGCAGCCUGAGCUUCGUGGCGUCGUUGCCGGCGAGCGUGGCGCGACAGCGGCUGCGGGGGGUGGCGCGGCGCGGCAGUGGGGCGUUGAUGGACCUGCGGGUCAACCCCUGGGCGCUGAAGCAGGAGGAGCUCAUGGGGUGAGGGAGGGGCGAGGGAGGGAGAAAGGGUGGAGCAGGCGUGCGGUGGGAUUGCGGUGGCCGUGGCUUGGGUGCGUUCCGCGUUUGCACUUAUGUGUCUUGCAAGAUGUAUUGCAGCGCGCCUCCUUGACGGGUCAUCAACGCUAGCAGCUUGCAGAGUACGCUUGACUUGGAAGUUGGAACCCUGCUAGGACUGAACCACGUGGCGGGCGCACGUGCACGCGCAGGCAAGUCCGCGACGUGCUGGCAGCGCUGUGGCGCCACUGCGGCGCCGUCGCCGGCCCCGGGCCGUGCGCCGCCGUGCUAGCCGCGCUGGGCGGCGCCGGCUCUGCGCCCGCCACCGCCUCCGGCCACAUGCCUUCGCUCACCGGCGCUGCUACAGCCACUGCAGCUGGCAGUAGCAUCUCUGGCGGGGCCCUUGCCACUGCUACUGCUGGUGCCACUGCUUAUGGGGCGGGCAGUGACGAGGCGCUGGUGUCCUUCCUGGUGCGGGUGGCGGCGGAGCAGAGCGCGGGCCAGUACUUCAACCUGGCGCAUUCGGUGGGCGUGCUGCAGGUGAGCGAAAGGAGGGAGGGGAGGGGUUAGACACCAGCCAAAAUUAAACCGAACCCAAUGUAAAAGAGCGAGGGGGGGCUGGAGGGUACCGGCGGUGGGUGGGUGGCGAGCAACACGUCGCCAGCACAGUCUGGCACUCGCGCGGGGCUACGGCGCGGGGCUGAAGAGCACGGGUAGGAGGUGGCCUGGCGAGGGAGGACGCGGACUGGGGGAUCGGGCACUGUGCAUGCCGUCAUGCGUUUUGGAAAUGUCCGUACACCCGUGUUGUCUCCCCAACCACGCCCUGUGUGCCAUGCCUUUGACCCUCCCCCUACCUGGCUACGCCUUCACGUCUUAGUUAGUCACGCACGUAACCACCGCCGCACCCCACCCCACAGGGCUUGUAUGCCACGCUGCGCACGCACCCCGAGCUGGCGGCGGCGCUGGGGCCGCAGCAGCUGCUGUCCCUCAUCCUGGCCGCCUGCCUGCUCAACAUCGUGCGGCAGGGCGAGCACAUCAGCGGCAUGGCCGGAGCCCCCGGAGGCGGCGGCGGCGGCGCGCCGGCGGCGCUGGGCAGCGGCGUUCCCAGCUUCAGCGGCAGCAAAGGCCGCCUGCGGUCGGGCCUGAGCGGCAGCAGCUUUGCGGCCUCGUCUGCGGCGCCGUCGGGCCGGCACGACGACGCCAGCACGGGCGGCGGCGGUGGGGCUGGGGGAGGAGGCGGCGGAGGACUCUCGCGGCAGGUGCUGACGAUGACGAUGCCUAGUGAACACACCUCUGAGCCGGCCGUACACCGUCUGGCCAGCAGCAACCGCGCGGUGGUGGUGGCGGCGGCGGCGUCCGCGGCGGCGGCGCACCAAGCCGCCUCCAUGCGGCGGGCAAGCCCCUUCGCGGCCGCCGCGGGCGCCGCCGCCGCCGCAGAUGCCGGCGGCGGCCGCGCGUCCACAGACGAUGAGGCUCAGUCGAAACGGCAGCGCAGCGGCGCCGGCUCAGGCAGCGGCGGCGGCGCGUCUCUGCCGCCGCAGCCCUCCAAGACGUCCUCAAAUGGCAGCCUGGCGCGCAUCUCGCCGUCGCGGCCCUCACCCACUCGGCCGUCACCGCCGCGGCCACCGCUGCCGCAGCUCGGCACGCCCCCCGCCUCCACCUCGGGCUCCACGGCCCUGGCGGCGGGCGGCAUCACGACCUUGCCAUCGGUACCGCAGGCGCUGGCGUCGCCGUCUCCGGCCGCCGCCGCUGGUCCGGACGGGGUGGAUGACGAGGACUGCAUGCCGCUGCCGCCCAUGCGCGGGCCCUCCGCUGUGCCCGCCAUGGGGCGCAACCUCUCCCUGGCCGCCUCCACCCUCUCCUCCCUUCCCUCUGGCGCCUCAAGCUCCUCCAGCGCCGUCGCCGCCAUCGCCGCCGCGCAGGGUGCUGCAGCCGCCGCCGGACCGGGCACCACGACCACCCACGCCACCAACACCGCGCAAGCACCCCUGGCGGCACCGUCGCCAUCGCCGCUGCCGCUGCCGGCUGCAGGUCCCAGCCGCACGCGCGGCAUGAGCGCCCGUCGGGGCCGCCUAGCCAGCUUGGUCGAUGACAUCCUGUCUGGCGAGAGUAACAUACUGGCGGGACUGCCGGCGGCGGACGCCGCCGCCGUUCGCGCCGCGGUCGUCAGCCUGCUGGCGGUGCGGAACCAGUCCGCGCUCGUGCUGGCCAUGGCGGGUCUGCAGCCGGCGCCGGCGCCCGCGCCGGCGCCAGGAGGUGCGGCAGCGGCAGGGAGCGGGCCGGCGGCGACAGCGACAGCGGAAGCGCUUCGAACGGCCGAGGUGCUGAAUGCAGCGGCGGCGGCCGCGGCAGCGGGCGCCGCCGCCGUCAAGGCAGGGCCGGUGACGCCGGCGGCGACGCCGGAGCAGGCAGGGACGCCGGAGCAGGCAGGGACGCCGCGCGCGGGCGACGCCAGCCACUCACCGCUCCAGGCCAGCACCGCGGAUGCAUUACUGAUGCUGCCUCAGCCGCCGACGCCGAUAGCCACAUCCACAGCAACCGCUGAGGACGCGGCGGCGGCCGCCGUCGCCACCACCGCCGCUGCCACAGCCAACGGGUCACCUGGCCCCGACGCUAAUGGCGAGCAGGCGAAGGCGGCUGGCGCGCCGGCAACCACAGUCGCGCCCGCGGCCGCCGCGGAUGGCGGCGCGGCGGCGGGCAGUGUCGUGGGUGGCAGCGGCUCAGUCACGGGCGAGAUGGAUACGGGCGAGAUGGACAGCCCGUACGCACGGGGGCCGCCGUCGCCGCUGAGUCUGCCGGCGCUGCUGCAGGUACGGCAGCAGGGUGUUGGGGGCGGUCAACAGGAGCGGGGGACAGGACAGUGAUCCUGGACGUGUGUCUUUCUACGGUACACAUUGGGUCGGCGACGCUAGGCCACCAGAGGCUACGACCCCUCCGCUGCCCAUUGUCGGGUUCGCCUCCCGUGCCCCCUGUGCCCCCGCCGGAUUGGGCUGACUCCCUGUGCUCCCCUGCGCCCCCCUUGUCCCCGCUUGUGCCCCCUUCUCUCCCGCCCGCAGGCCGCGGAGGGCGACCCCGCCAAGCUGGCCGAGCUGCGCUCCUCCGUCAGCGCCCUGCUGCUGCUGGUGCGUUGCCGUACCGGGUGCACGUGCUUGCCGUACGCCACCGCACCUGCGCCCGACCCCAGCUCACGUGUGUCUUGCUGCUACCCGGUGAUGGCACUGAUGAUGCAAACAACCCCACCCGUACGCCACCGCACCUAACUAAUCAUGACUGUAACCCCGUCCACCCCACCACAAACCCUACAGACCUGGUCGGAGCUGCAGCACGUCAAGGACACGGGCACGGCGCUGUCGCUGCUGCUGGCGCGCGCCCACGACGUCCGCGCCUGGGCCGCCAGCCGCCUGGCCGCAAACGUGUCCAGCCGCAGGCGGAGCAUCGUACUGCUGGUAGGGCAGCGGGAGAGGGGGCUGCGGGGCGACUACUGCUGGGAGGCGUUGUUUACAUGAGGCCUAGUGCGGUGCAGUCUACUGGGCUCUCCCGCUCUCAAGCACUUCCCAAACGUCAAACCACGCCUCCUCGUCCCACACUUCGCAUGCGCGCUCUCCCGCUCUCUCCCGCAGCAGGGUGGCGGCGCCGAGGAGUCGCCCGACGACGUGGCCAAUCUGCUGCUGCUGGAGGUGCCGCGCAUGCAGCUGGAGGUGCUGCCGCUGUGGGGCCGCGCCGCCGAGCUGCUGCCCGGCCUGGCGCCGCAGCUGGAGCAGGUGCAGGCCAACCGCGCCGCCUACGUCGUCAUGCUGCAGUCCGCCGCCGAGCACGGCGGCGGCGCCGCAGGCGGCAGCGCCGCUGGACAGCUGUCCGGCGGCGCCGGCUAUGCCGCCGGAACCGCCUCGGGCGGCACCGGCUUCGCCGGCGCGGCCGCCGCCCGCGGCGCCUCUGGCCGCGGGAGUUUGCUGCGGUCGCUGGCGGGCGGGCCGUCGGGUAGGGAGCCGCGGAAGUUCAUAUCGGUGAAGCAGCGCGUCAGCGCCGGCGGCGGCCUGGGCCGCGGCGGCGGCGGCGGCGGCGGCGGGCUAGGCGUGCUGCCAAGCGGCGACAGCGGCGACGACGCGGCGCUUGGGCCCGGCGGUGGCGUGAUGGUGAUGGCCGGGCGGGUGGGCAUGGGCCCACGCGGCCUGCCCUUGAUACGCGCCUCUAGCAGUCGGUCGUAUGCUGGUCGCGGCGGCGUUGACGACGAUGAGCUGGAACUGCCAGUGGGCGUGGUGCCGGCGGCGCUCGGGCCGGCAGCGGCGGCGGUGACGGCGGUGCGCUUUGGCAGCGGCGUCAUUACCGGCAGCGGCGCUGCCGCUGGCGCGGCAGCGCCGAUGCAGGCGGCGGCGGCGGCUACGGCGGCCGCGUCGCGGCACGCGGCGAGCAAGUCCGUGACGGUGGCGGCGGCGGCGGGCUCGGCGUUCGCAGCCAUUGGCCGUCUCGGCUCCAUGCCACGAGGCCCCGUCAACGUGCCGUCGCCGCUGUCGCCUGCCGCCAUGACGGACGCGCGGUGGUCGGUGCCCGGCAUACCGCCGUCGCCGCACAUGCUCUCGUACGUGCCUCGCUCGCAGGCCCACGACCCAGUCGCGCUGGCGGCAGCCUCCGCAGCCGGCGCCGGCGGCGCCGGCGGCCCCCUGGCGGUUGAGUCGACGCGGCGCGGCAGCAUCACCAACCGCCUCAACAACUUCUUCACCUCCUUCCGCGCCAGCCGCCGCCACAGCCGCACGCUGAGCCAUGCGGGCGCCGGGGCCGCUGGCGGUGACCAUGCCAUUGCUAUGGCCGUGGCGGCGGCCGCAACGCCCUCGUAUGGCGGCAGCUCUGUCGCCACCGCCGGCGGCGGCGGCGGCGGCGGGACCGCCGCAACCGGGUCCUUUGUGGUGCACAUCCCUCACGGCGCCAUGGAUGCUGGGUACGGCGGCGGCGCCUAUGGCGCCGGCGGCCCCGCUAGCGGCCUGAUCAGCACGACUUCGCAACAGCUGUUCCUCACGCCGGGGGCGCCGUCGCCGCUGGGGCUGGCGGCGCAGGGCACCGGCACGCUCAGCCACACGCCGUCGCAGCGGGUGUCGUACGGCGGCGCCGGGGCCGGCGGGCCGGUGAGCCACGGCGGUUCGCAGGUGCCGACGCCGGUGCUGAUGUCACCCAUGACCUCUUUCCGGUCGCCGCUGACGGCGGCGGCGGCCGCCAUGGCCCCAGGCGGCGGCGCCGGCUCGCUGGCCGCCGUGAGCAUCGGCACUGCUGGCUCGCAGUCCAUCAGCCUCUCGCCUAUGGGUUCACAGAUGCUGCCGCCGCCGGGCGGCGGCGGCGGCGGCGGCGCGGGCGCCGACGGCGCGGCGGUGUCUGUUAGCGACCUGUCGCACUCGCUGUCGGCGGGCAAGCGCGAGAAGCUGCGCACGCGCAUCAUGAAGAAGGUCAGCAACGUGAUACGUAUGGGAGG